AAGUCGAACGAUGAACCACUUCGGUGGGGAUUAGUGGCGAACGGGUGAGUAACACGUGGGCAAUCUGCCCUGCACUCUGGGACAAGCCCUGGAAACGGGGUCUAAUACCGGAUACUGAUCCUCGCAGGCAUCUGCNAGGUUCGAAAGCUCCGGCGGUGCAGGAUGAGCCCGCGGCCUAUCAGCUAGUUGGUGAGGUAACGGCUCACCAAGGCGACGACGGGUAGCCGGCCUGAGAGGGCGACCGGCCACACUGGGACUGAGACACGGCCCAGACUCCUACGGGAGGCAGCAGUGGGGAAUAUUGCACAAUGGGCGAAAGCCUGAUGCAGCGACGCCGCGUGAGGGAUGACGGCCUUCGGGUUGUAAACCUCUUUCAGCAGGGAAGAAGCGAAAGUGACGGUACCUGCAGAAGAAGCGCCGGCUAACUACAUGCCAGCAAUCCGCGGUAAUACGUAGGGCGCCAAGCGUUGUCCGG
rnacentral:rRNA from 1 species